rnacentral:misc_RNA from 1 species
GAUGAAGAACGUAGCGAAAUGCGAUAAGUAAUGUGAAUUGCAGAAUUCAGUGAAUCAUCGAAUCUUUGAACGCACAUUGCGCCCCCUGGUAUUCCGGGGGGCAUGCCUGUUCGAGCGUCAUUUCACCACUCAAGCCUCGCUUGGUAUUGGGCAACGCGGUCCGCCGCGUGCCUCAAAUCGUCCGGCUGGGUCUUCUGUCCCCUAAGCGUUGUGGAAACUAUUCGCUAAAGGGUGUUCGGGAGGCUACGCCGUAAAACAACCCCAUUUCUAAGGUUGACCUCGGAUCAGGGAGGGAUACCCGCUGAACUUAAGCAUAUCAAUAAGCGGAGGA